AUUUGCGUCCUAUUCAAUUGUAAUUGCGCCACCAAUUAAGGUCUUUGCACAUUGUUACAACUCAACAGCCACUCGACUCAAAAUUAAAUAUUGAAAUAAAAGCCUUAUCUUGUAUGUCCUAUAGUACAAUGUUUAAAAUUUAGGUAACUGUCGGGUGGUCUACGCGUCGUCCACUCGUCGUCCACUAAGGUGAACCAAAAGUGAGUUGAGUUGGUGUGGAAUUGGUAUAGUGUGCGAAGACCUUUAUAGGUUAACACAGCAUGCAUUCAGAGUAAGCUACUUACUCUAAACACUAUAAUGAAAUAAGAAAACGAAUGUCAUUUACUUGAAAGCUCAAAAAACUAUAUUUAACAUUAAACAGUAAAAAAACUAACUUAAAGUCUAGAAUAUGGAAUGUCAAGAGGCACUUCAAUCGGGAAUUGAAGUAAGUUUAUUUUUAAAACUAUACAGGCUGUCAUGGUUUAUGUCCAGCUGGUCAUAAUGUUUGCUAAGUAUAUUGUACAAGCGCGACCGAUGAGUGAGAGACAAGUUAGGUGCGGCAGAAACGCAUCCUGAAUAGGAAGCAGGGGUAGCGUAGAGUGCGGGUUAGUAUCUUAAGCGCGAACAUAUUUAACAGACAGUCUACUUGGUUGUUGUUUUUUUUGUGUAGGAACGUCAUGUCGAGCAUUUUCUUCUACAUUUUAAGGAUCUUAUGGAAGCGCUUGAGUCUCUCUAUGUAAGAUGUUAUUUUUGAUAAUCUAUAUCGAUAUACCAGGUGUUUGGUUAACCGUUUCUGCACGCGUUCGAUUCUGUCAACAUUGAGUUUGUAAGCAGGUGUCCAGAUUACUACCAUAUUCGAGCUUACUUCUGACGAAUGAGUAGUACAAGAUUAUCAAAGUCGAGUUUUUCUUAAAUUCUUUUCGAGUUCUGAGGACAAAGCCCAGCGCUCUCGACGCCGCGUCUCAGACACCUCAUGCACACGUUGGUUCAUGAUUUUAUAUGUUGUUCGUUGCUCGUUUCGUUUCCUGUGAAAAUUAAUGUGAUAACAUUUUGUAGGGUUUAAAUGCAUUCUAUUGAGGGCACACUACUCUACCGAAGACGAUUACGGUAUAACAAAGGCGAUUACGGAUACGGUAUACAAUUUUUCAGCAUUGGUGGAGUCUUUAAAGAUGAUCAGAGCUCCACGAGGGGAGGGAGGGUUCAUAGGGUCGGCAACGCGCAUGUAACUCCUCUGGAGUUGCAGGCGUGCAUAGGCUACGGAGACUGCUUACCAUCAGAUGAGCCGUAUGCUUGUUUGCCAUCAACGUAGUAUAUAAAAAAAAUCUCGUGAGUUUUAAUUCGUCGGCAAACAAGUAAAGAUUAGAAAAUUUAAAUAUGGAUGUUACAUCGUUUAUAAAAAUGCUGAGAAACAUUGGACCCAAAUUCAAACCCAGAGGUACCCCAGAAUGCGCUACAAAGUCGUAAGACUACGCGCCUUCAACAACCACAGUUGAUGGCUUCCUCCAGGUAAGUCUGACACCAAUUGUACUUGAGUGACAUAUUCUAAAUCGAUGCAGCUUGUCUAAAAUUAUACGGUCAUUGACCUUGUGGAAUGCCUUUGAGAAAUCCGUGUACUCGACUUGGUAUCCCUUGUCAACUGCUUCAGUAAGGUCCUCGACAAAAUUGCAUAGGUUUGUACUAGUUGACCUUUUUGGCAUAAACCCUUGUUGCAAUGGUGAUAUAAAGUUGUGAACAUGGUUAAAUAUAUAAGGGUACACUAACUGUUCGAAGACCUAUGCAACUAUGGACAGGAUAGAGAUAGGUCGGUAGUUAGAAACUAAAUUACGCCUUAAUUAUUUUGCUGGAUAAUAAAACCAGAAUAAUGACGCCAGGAUGUUGACGACGGUGAAUGUUUUUUUUUAUGACAACGGUUAAACCAUUAACAUAUUGUAAGUGUUAUAUUUACACAAAAAUAAGUAUAAUAGGAACUAUGAGAUAGUAAAAAAUAAUCUGUAAUUAAGUCGUUCUGGGUGCUUAAAACUCAAUCCAGGAAAUAACGUUUAACGAGGACAAAAAUAUAUCGCGUGAAUGACACACCUCAUAAGCAGCUUAAAACGUUAUAGAUCUUCUUUCAUUAAUUUUUCUGACUAAGCACAACUAACUUUGUCAUAAUGUCAUGAAAGUAGCGUUAGUAUCAUUGGCUGAUUAAAUAUUAUCAGGUAUUUGAGUGAAGACUUAUCCAGACUAUACGUGUGACAAAUACAUAAUGGCCUACCAGCGUUCAAAUAAAGUAUUUGUUACACUUGCACUUAAUAAUGCAAAAUUUUAUGAUAAAUCUAAUCAUCUUUCCAAUGAUGUAUAGAACUUUAAUGUAAGUCAUACAGAUAAGAAGUUAAGCUACAUGAUUUGGAGAAAACCGCAAAUCUGACACGUCUCACAGACUUAAUGCACGCAGUAAGAGUAACUUUGGAUAUUUUUUUUGGCUUAUGGUAAUAAUCACUGUGUUAAUUUUACUUUGCUUCGCUGUUAUUAAAUGUGUUUUAUGAAAAAAAAAAAUAGUGUAAAGUAUUUAUGUUACCGGUUUAGUGAUAACAGGCAAGUGACACCUAAAAAUCGCACUUUGAAAAUACACCCUUUAAACAGUUUUAAUCUUUAUCUACGUCCUAACAAGAAUAAUAAAUGAACGAAUGAAUAAUUGAGUUGCCAUAUCGAAUAUUACUUGAAUCUUCACGACAUGGCCUGGACUUGACUCGAAAUCGGAUCAGUCGUGGCAACAGCCAGUAUGCAUAAUAUUAUUUAAAUACAUUAUAUCACAUCAACAGGAUUUUGGGCAAGGUUUAGUACAAACAGCGGAACACUGGGAAACUUAUAAGAAAAAGCGAUGGGCUACGCUGAACCCUUCCAUAAUGGACAAAGAAAGGUUUGCAGAAUGCUGUACUCAACUGGGCAUCUGCGAAAUGGUGUGUAAUGCUUAAUGUAAUAAUAAAAUAAGCGGCCAAGUGCGAGUCGGACUCGCGGUAUUACACAAUUUUUAACAAUGGUUUUUGACAUGAAACGUGAGUAAAACACGUCUUUAAAAACCAGUAUUUGAACCAGAUGUGGCGGAAAGUGUUAUGGCGCGGUGGCUUUAUAUGGUGUAAAAUUAUAUCUUUGCACCUUCAUAUUAAAACAUUUAUGAAUUCAAAAUUUUGCUAAAAUUGUUAAAAACGAACUAUGACGUGAUAAUUUUCUUAGAAUGCUGGCUAAGUAAGUAUUCACUAAUUCCACACAAUGGAUACUCUUCUGUGCAUACCAUGAACAUUGCAAACAAGAACGAAUCUAUAAUCGAAUCUAUGAACCCUCGUUCGUGGACGCGAAUUGUCUUGUCUGCAUAAUUAACAACCAUACGGAUAUAAUAGCUUUAUAUCGAUCUCCAUCCAUUAGAUGCCUAGAUAACUUUUUAAAUAGUCUAAACAAUGUAUUAUCAUCCCUUUCGUUUUACAAAAAAUGCAUAGACAUAAAACUCACCAAUACAGAUAGCCGCUCUUCUGAAUAUCUUCAUUUUAUGGCCUUGCAUGGUCUGCUACCUGGUCAUUUAUAUCCGACUAGAUAUGAAAACUCCAUGGAUCAUAUAUUCUCUGAUACACCAGCCACAACUAUAGUUGUCGUAUCGUACUUCUUGCUAUCCUUGGUGCGAUUAUUAAAAGACACAAAAAUUAUCAAAAUUCCCCAUCGUGCACUCAAUAUAUAAAAGUGGCAAACUUUAAGAAUUAUAGACCGAUUUCCGUCCUAACUGCUCUGUUCUGUCUAAGAUAUUGGAGAGAAUCAUGAACACCGCUUUAGUUAACUUCUUGGAAUGCUACAAUCUCAUAGCUGAUAAUCGCUUUGGUUUCCGGUUAGGAAGGUCAACUGAAGUUGCUGAGGUCACUACCUUCUUAACUCAUCACCUAGACCAAAAUCGCCGGUGUCUUGGCAGUUUUCUUGAUCUUUCCAAGGCCUUCGAUACAGAUUCAGAUUCAGAUUCAGAUGUUUUAUUGAUAAAGGGCAAAUUUUACAAGUCAAUAAAUAAAUGUACAUAUCUAUGCUUAAAUAAUUUUACAUGUCAGGUACCAGUUAAUUAUUAUUACAAAUUCAUAUUAAUUACAUUAUCACAUUUAAAUUUAUAAUUAAUUACUUGUUAUUUGUUUGGGUUAGUGAUGAUUUUUAUGAUUCGAAAAAAUCAUCAGUGCUAUAAAAGGCCAUCCCUAGAAGAUAUGUUUUUAAUUUGUUAAGGAAGAUUGUAUCACUUGGUGUUUUUUAUAUAUCUGCCGGAAGAGCGUUAUAGAUUUUAACGCCAAACACAGCAAGCGACAGAUACAGUCUCGGUUCCUAUCCUUUUGCACAAAUUGGAGCACCUGGGUGUCCGAGUUAUCUCCUUGUAUUGUAUAUGUUACACGAUUAUUUAUCAGGCAGGACUUAAUUAUUAAAACUGAGCUCAUGCGUAAGUAACAAAGAAUCAAUUAGCUAAGGCGUCUCCCGGGACAGCAUUCUGGGCCCCAUGCUCUUUCGGAUAUAUGUGAACGAACUAUGUAAGCUGUCGCUACCAAAUUGAAAAAUCAUUGCAUAUGCCGAUGACACGGCCUUACUAUUUUAUGGCUCCAACUGGGCCGAUACGAAGAUGCAUGCAGAAAAAGGCCUAAAAACAAUAAUGCAGUGGCUUAAGAAUAACCUUCUUACUCUUAGUUUAGAUAAAACUAAAGCCAUGCCUUUCGUCACUGUCCAUUCAUCUCAACCCACUCAACCACUUUCAAUACAAAGCCACAUGUGUCAGUCUCCUUCGUCGGACUAUGUCCUUAUCUUGCUUUGACCUCUAGUAAAAAGUAUCUUGGAGUUGUUCUGGAUCAAAGACUAGAUUGGGGUACCCACAUACACUCUGUGAGUGCUCGAGUCAGGAAACGGACAUACAUCUUUAAGCAACUUUGUCAUUCAGCCGAAUCCAAAAUGCUUAUGAUGGUGUAUAAAUCGCUAUGCCAAACUCUCCUCACGUACUGUUUACCACUCUGGGGAGCAGCCGGUAAGACAACUAUGAUAAGAAUAGAAUGUGCACAGAGAGUUGUGCUAAAAGUGGCAACUUCUAAACCAUUUAGAUUCCCCACCGCUGAAUUAUACGCCGAGUUUAGUAUCCUCACAGGUAGAGAACUAUACGUUAUUCGUGCUAUUCUUCGCCGACAUCGUCACCUCCCUCUCUGUGCCAAAGUAAUAAGCAAGCGAAGUAAGCAAACUUCUUGCCCGGUGAUUCCCCAGCAAACAUUAUUUGCUAACCACCAAUACAUAUCAAUGAGUACCCGUGUUUAUAAUAACAUAAAUAAACAAUUAAAUAUUUACCCCCUAAACUCCUAUAACUGCAAAGCAAAACUAAGUGCCUUUUUACACACACUAUUUAUUUAUUUAAUCUUUAUUGCACAUAAUAAAACAUACUGUACAAUAGGCGAACUUAAUGCCGUAAGGCAUUCUCUACCAGAUAUUCCAGAUAUUCACUAUCAUAUCAGGAAACCGAAAACAUCUUGUCAUGUUUGAAAUAACCAUGCUAUCCUCCUUACAUAUCAUGUUUUUCAUUUACAUACCUCAUUAUCUACACCCACACACACAAACACACACAAACACACGCAGACACACACACACACACACACACACACACACACACACAUGCACGCACACACACACACACACACACACACACACACACACACAUGCACAAUUGCAAAUAACUGAUACACACACACCACGAACAUGCGCAAGCACUGACUUACACACAUACUUACACAUAUACUAUCUGUAUUAGUUUGCACCAUAUGCGUUGGAACCAAUAUUAUUGAUAUUUGUCGUCUGUUUCAGCAGGAUAUAGAUUCAAUAGUUAAAUGAUCACACGAUAAUGGCAUUAUAUUAAAUUCCGACAAAACAAAACUUCUCAUCAUACAGAUAUGUCUGGGAGUCAAAAUAAAUAGAUACCGCAUUCUCCUGGCAAUAACAUAUAGACCAUAUCUAUUUUCUACACAUACAAAAACAUCUAAAAGAAAAAACUCUAUUGAUAUUGGUGCUGAUAUAGUAUUUGUUUAGGCGCGUUCUACCAUUUUGAAAACUAAAAACAAAACUAAAUGGACAAAAGAAUCAUAAUAAAUCAUAGAAUCUGGUCACAACAUUUCACAAGAAUUGGUUGAGAAUUGCGACUUAAGCAUUUGGACCAAGUGAAAACGAAAACCUUCACUGUCACUUCGUUCAAAAAUGGAACAAACUAGGAAUCUAAAUACAAGACGCCUAUCUUAGCCCUCUGACAUAAAGAUUAAGAUAAUUAACAGUUAAUUAAUCCUAUGUAUUGUAUGUUAACGGCACCAAUCAUGGGACAUUUAAGAGAAAAUUUGGAGUAUUUUUGAUAUUUCACCGAAAUUUCUGCCUCUAAUAAGUUCGUUUCGUAUCUUGUCUAUUCUUGUAACGCCACCUGACCAUCUAAGCAUUUUCAUUUCGGCCACAUGUAACUUUUUGACGUGCGUUUCUUUGACGGGCCAGCAUUCAGCCCCAUACAGCAUUGCUGGUCGUACUGCAGUUUUGUAUACCUUGCCCUUUGUACGUAUGGGCAUUCGUGGAUCACAAAGAACUCCGGUGAGUGUCCGCCAUUUUUGCCAUGCGACAUUGAUUCUAUGGGAAACGUCUACUUCUACAUUCGCGUCACUUGUUAUAACCGAGCCUAGAUAUUUAAAUUGGCUAGCUUUUGGUACUUGUUUUCCAUCCGGGUAGUAGAGAUUGCAUCUGUUUGCCACAUUGCUAUAGUUGCAUUCAAGAUGUUCGGUUUUCGAUCUACUUACUCGGAGACCCGCAUUUUCUAAAGUAGUGACCCAUUUGGUUAGAGUUGUUUGCAGGUCUUCGGCACAUUUGGAAACAAGCGCAAUGUCGUCGGCAUAUAGGAGGUUCCAAGGUAAUUCCUGCUGAAUGGGUUUUGUAAUAUAAUCCAUGACUAUAUUAAAUAAUUGGGGGCUUAGGGCUGAUCCCUGGUGGACUCCCACUUCGACUGCGAAAUCCUUGCUCAAUCCGGCAGGGCUCUUGACUUUCGUGCGGAUGUUGGAAUACGUGUCCUGAACCGAGCGUAUGUAGUCCUCUGGUAUUAGAUGUUCCCUCAUUGAUUGCCACACAAGUCUUCUCGGUACCCGAUCGAACGCCUUUUCGAGGUCUUAGAAUAUAAAGUGCAAGUCCUCCUUAUUUACGCGAUGUUUUUUCGUCAGUAUUCUCAUAGUCUGUAUUGCGUCUGUGGUCGAUUUUGAUGGGGUGAAGCCAAAUUGGUUCGGUGUUAUGACGCAGAUGUCCAGAAGGCGUUUGUUUAGUAUGCGCUCCCACAGUUUAAGAGUAUGUGAGGUUAGUUUAAUCCCCCUAUAGUUGCAGCAGUGAGUUAUCUCCCCUUUGUUCUUGUAAAAUGGAACAAGGUAGCUUUGCCGCCAGGCCUCAGGAAUAGAUUUGCUUUCCAGUAUUAUGUUAAAAAGUUUAGUGAGCCACUCUACUGCCAAUAUCAAAUAUCAAAUGUCAAACAUUUAUUCAGCAAAUAGGCCACAGGGGCACUUUUACAUGUCCAUUUUUACAAACAAUAAAUUAAAAAAAAAAAAAAAACAAUUACAAAUAUCGAAUCUAUGAAAUAAUAAAUACUUUAUUAGAGAUGUAUACUGUCUCUAAAUGUCAAAUUACACAAAAAAAAACUAUGAUAAAAAAAUAAAACCAUAAAAUACUAAAAUUCUUUAGAGAUGUAUAAGUCUCUAAGUGUCAGAGAUAAAAUAUAAAAAUAUAUAUUAAAUUAUCCUUAGAGAUGUAGAGGGUCGCCAAGGCUUGAAUUCUUAUAUAAAUAAUUAAAAGACAAAAAAAUUAAAACAGACAAGAACCGAAUGAAGUGUCUCACGUUAAUGUCACUCAAAAGUAAAGUUACAUACUUUAACAUAACCUGUACCCCGUGUAAGCUUAAACAGACCGGUCUCCACAAACAGCACCCGUUCACGAGUAUGACGUGUAUCUCAGCCAUCGCCUCCCUCAACCUUCAUUCGGGAAAGUGGCGACCCGAUCAACGACGCCACCGUAAGUAAAGACUUUUAAGCGAGCAUGACAUGUUCAAGCUGCCGGGUUGUAUUAAUAUAAAUAUAAUAAAAAAAAUUGUGAGAUACAACAUUUGUGCUUGUAAGUUACAUUAAAGACGGCAUAGCGCCACAUAAACGCGACUACAUAUUAUUCAUAAGGAGUGCCUACCUAUAAAACUAAAUUAUAAAUUUAAAUUGACUUAGAGAUGUACAGGUCUCUAAGUGUCCAAAUCAUUAAAAUAGGUAUUAAAAUAAAAUGAAAUUUAAAAUAAAAUAAAAUUUAAAAUAAAAUAAAAUCUUAGAGGUGUAUAAGGUCUCUAAGUGUCCAAAACUAAAAUAAUACAAUCAAACGAGAACAUGAUGUUCUCUUGUGUCAGUUCUACUGGACGCUAGUAUG